AAAAAGGAGCUGCUGGCUAUAACAUCUGCCAUCCCAUUAUUGAUCAUCAGGGUUGACUUGUUUGAUCUGCCUGCUAGGCAAGUGUCCCUUUCCUCCUGCACAUGAGCAUCUCUCCUGAAGCUAAAGCUGUGAAGUUGAGCACUUGGUCAAAGAGAAUGACCCCCAUCCCCAGUAGAAGAGGACAGUUUUCUUGGUCAAGGGUAUAUAUAUAGCUGUGCUCUCCUGCUAGAACUUCCAAACAAGCUCUCAAAAAGGAGCUCUGUAAUAAAUAUCUGUAAAAUGGUCAUUUUUCUCCCUUAGUCAAAUGCUGAAUUGAAUAGAAAA
rnacentral:snRNA from 1 species